rnacentral:rRNA from 1 species
UUGCACAAUGGGCGCAAGCCUGAUGCAGCGACGCCGCGUGAGGGAUGACGGCCUUCGGGUUGUAAACCUCUUUCAGUAGGGAAGAAGCGAAAGUGACGGUACCUGCAGAAGAAGCGCCGGCUAACUACGUGCCAGCAGCCGCGGUAAUACGUAGGGCGCAAGCGUUAUCCGGAAUUAUUGGGCGUAAAGAGCUCGUAGGCGGUUUGUCGCGUCUGCUGUGAAAGACCGGGGCUCAACUCCGGUUCUGCAGUGGGUACGGGCAGACUAGAGUGCAGUAGGGGAGACUGGAAUUCCUGGUGUAGCGGUGAAAUGCGCAGAUAUCAGGAGGAACACCGAUGGCGAAGGCAGGUCUCUGGGCUGUAACUGACGCUGAGGAGCGAAAGCAUGGGGAGCGAACAGGAUUAGAUACCCUGGUAGUCCAUGCCGUAAACGUUGGGCACUAGGUGUGGGGGACAUUCCACGUUUUCCGCGCCGUAGCUAACGCAUUAAGUGCCCCGCCUGGGGAGUACGGCCGCAAGGCUAAAACUCAAAGGAAUUGACGGGGGCCCGCACAAGCGGCGGAGCAUGCGGAUUAAUUCGAUGCAACGCGAAGAACCUUACCAAGGCUUGACAUGAACCGGUAAUACCUGGAAACAGGUGCCCCGCUUGCGGUCGGUUUACAGGUGGUGCAUGGUUGUCGUCAGCUCGUGUCGUGAGAUGUUGGGUUAAGUCCCGCAACGAGCGCAACCCUCGUUCUAUGUUGCCAGCGCGUUAUGGCGGGGACUCAUAGGAGACUGCCGGGGUCAACUCGGAGGAAGGUGGGGACGACGUCAAAUCAUCAUGCCCCUUAUGUCUUGGGCUUCACGCAUGCUACAAUGGCCGGUACAAAGGGUUGCGAUACUGUGAGGUGGAGCUAAUCCCAAAAAGCCGGUCUCAGUUCGGAUUGGGGUCUGCAACUCGACCCCAUGAAGUCGGAGUCGCUAGUAAUCGCAGAUCAGCAACGCUGCGGUGAAUACGUUCCCGGGCCUUGUACACACCGCCCGUCAAGUCACGAAAGUUGGUAACACCCGAAGCCGGUGGCCU